GUGCCCACUUUGGCAGCACUUAUACUAAAAAUUGAAAUGAUACAGAGAUUAGCAGGGACCUGUGCCAGGAUGACACCCAUAUUCAUGAAGCAUUACAUUAAAAA
ensembl:snRNA U6 U6 spliceosomal RNA